rnacentral:rRNA from 1 species
CCUACGGGUGGCUGCAGUGAGGAAUAUUGGUCAAUGGGCGGAAGCCUGAACCAGCCAAGUAGCGUGCGGGAUGAAGGCCCUACGGGUCGUAAACCGCUUUUGCACGGGGAUAACACCCUCCACUUGUGGAGGUCUGCAGGUACCGUGCGAAUAAGGGCCGGCUAAUUCCGUGCCAGCAGCCGCGGUAAUACGGAAGGUCCGAGCGUUAUCCGGUUUCAUUGGGCUUAAAGGGAGCGUAGGCGGGCGAUCAAGUUAGGUGUAAAAUCGCGGGGCUAAACCGCGGCCCGCAGUUGAAAAUGGACGCCUAGAGAUUACUACAGGCAGGCGGAAUGUGUGGUGUAGCGGUGAAAUGCUUAGAUAUCA